rnacentral:rRNA from 1 species
CUAGCGUUGUUCGGAAUUACUGGGCGUAAAGCGCACGUAGGCGGGUUGCUACGUCAGGGGUGAAAUCCUGGAGCUCAACUCCAGAACUGCCUUCGAUACUGGCGAUCUUGGAGUCCGGGAGAGGUGGGUGGAACUGCGAGUGUAGAGGUGAAAUUCGUAGAUAUUCGCAAGAACACCAGUGGCGAAGGCGGCUCACUGGCCCGGUACUGACGCUGAGGUGCGAAAGCGUGGGGAGCAAACAGG